CCUACGGGAGACAGCAGUGGGGGAUAUUGGACAAUGGGGGAAACCCUGAUCCAGCGACGCCGCGUGAGUGAAGAAGUAUUUCGGUAUGUAAAGCUCUAUCAGCAGGGAAGAAAGAAAUGACGGUACCUGAGUAAGAAGCCCCGGCUAACUACGUGCCAGCAGCCGCGGUAAUACGUAGGGGGCAAGCGUUAUCCGGAAUUACUGGGUGUAAAGGGAGCGUAGACGGUAAUGCAAGUCUGGAGUGAAAGGCGGGGGCUCAACCCCCGGACUGCUCUGGAAACUGUAUGGCUGGAGUGCAGGAGAGGUAAGCGGAAUUCCUGGUGUAGCGGUGAAAUGCGUAGAUAUUAGGAGGAACACCAGUGGCGAAGGCGGCUUACUGGACUGUAACUGACGUUGAGGCUCGAAAGCGUGGGGAGCAAACAGGAUUAGAUACCCGGGUAGUC
rnacentral:rRNA from 1 species